GGAAGAACUCAAGACUUCACUGAAGCCCUUACAGGAGAAGGAGGAGCAGAAGAGUCAGAUGAUAAAGUAGAAGAUUGAGCUGAUGAGCAGAGAGAUAUCAACACUUUCAGACACAAUCAGAACCAUAGAGGAAGAGCUGGAGCUGAGGACAUCUCAUUCCUGCAGAACUACAAGGAUACAGUGAAAAGAGCCCAGUGUACACUGCCAGAUCCAGAGAGGGUUUCAGGAGCGCUGAUAGACAUGGUAAAUCACCUGGGCAACCUGCAGUUCAGAGUCUGGAAGAAGAUGCAGGGAAUAGUUAAGUACAUUCCAGUGACUCUGGACCCCAACACUGCCCACCCACAUCUCAUCCUGUCUAAUGAUCUGACCAGUGUGAGAUACAGUGAUGAGGAACAGCAGCUUCCUGACAACCCAGAGAGGUUUGAUAGCCAUAGAAUGGUCCUGGGCUAUGA